GCCCCUGUCAGUCAAUGGCGAGGCUGCUGGUCCCUCAAACCGGCAAUGGAGGGUUCGACUCCCCCCAGGGGCACCA
rnacentral:tRNA from 1 species